GGAAUAUUGGACAAUGGGGGCAACCCUGAUCCAGCCAUGCCGCGUGAAGGAAGACGGCUCUAGUAGUUGUAAACUUCUUUUAGCAGGGGAUAAACCCCCGGUACACCCGGGGCUGAAGGUACCUGCAGAAUAAGCACCGGCUAACUCCGUGCCAGCAGCCGCGGUAAUACGGAGGGUGCAAGCGUUGUCCGGAUUUAUUGGGUUUAAAGGGUGCGUAGGCGGUAUCGUAAGUCAGUGGUGAAAUCUCGCGGCUCAACCGUAAAAUUGCCAUAGAUACUGCGGUACUUCAGUCCGUUCGAGGUGGUUGGAAUGCGUGGUGUAGCGGUGAAAUGCAUAGAUAUCACGCAGAACACCUAUUGCGAAGGCAGAUCACUAGGACGGUACUGACGCUGAGGCACGAAAGCGUGGGGAGCGAA
rnacentral:rRNA from 1 species